GAGGUCAUGCCCUUCCUGAGGACUAAAGAAAGAAAGAGUAUAAAGGUCUGGACAUUUUGUCCUGAUGUGUGAUGUCUGCAAGAAAGUCAGCUGCAUCACAGUUUGAUUUUUGCCUUUCCAUUACCCAAUCUUAUAUUUUUUACCUUUCUUUCCCCUUAGGUAUUGAUUCCUAAUAAACAACUUGUACCCCAAACUUCUCAGAUCUUCUGGAGAAUCCAACAAAUACAUAUCUUAUCUCUGGAAAGAGGCACUUUGGCUUACCCCUGCUUAUAAACAACAGGCAAGAGCAGUACUCAUGGUGCCUAAGACAUGGAGACAACCGAAGUGCCCUGUGAUGGAGGACUGGAUGAAGAAGAAUGGAAUACUACUCAGCCAUAAGAAAGGAUGAAAUACUGCCAUUUGCAACAACAUGGAUGGACCUUGAGAACAUUGUGCUAAGUGAAAUAAGUCAAUCAGAUAAAGCAAGAACCAUAUGAUUUCACUUAUAUGUGGAAUAUAAAACUGAAACUCGUGAACCCAAACAGCAGUGUGGUGGUUGCCAGAGGGAAGGGGGUCCUAAAAUAUGGUGAUAGGAGAAUUGACUUUGGGUGGUGGGCACACAGUGCAAUAUACAGACCAUGUAACAGAAACCCACACCUGAAACCUAUAUGGUCAUGUUGAACAGUGUCACCCCAAUAAAUUUAAUUUAAAAAAUGUUUAAAGAAAGAAACAUGUCAAUUUAGGUUUGUAAACUAACAAUUUUUUAAACAUAUCUGGUGUAGAAGUUACUCUUAGUCUCCAAUUUUGAUAAUUAAAACUUUUACUUGUACUCCGAAUGCACCUAUAAUACAAGCUAGAUAAUAUAGUACAUUUACAUAGUUUAAUUAUUAAAGUAACUUUCCAUAGCACAUAAAAGUAAUAAUGUUUUUUUUUUUAAAUGAAAGGCAAAGACCGUGAAGCCAUAUUUAUAACAUAUUACACCUCUGCCACGGAUUGUUAUCCAGAUAAGCAAAAACACAAACAAAAUAAUCUUUUAUAGGAGGGAAAUAAACUCAGUAUAUAGGAACUGAAAUUACUUUCCCGUUGGUUAUCAAGGAAGUUCCUUUAUCUUCAUCUUUUUAAACUUUUAGGUUACUCCAUUAUAUUAAAUGCUAUCUUCUGUGAAAUACUUUUCACAAUUAAUUCACAACCUCCUCUCACAUUAUUUAUUCUGUAACUCAAUUCAUAAACAAUGUCUCAAGUAAAUUA